rnacentral:lncRNA from 1 species
GUCCACAGAGCAGAACAGGGCAGGGCCCUGAGACCCUGAAGCCACCUCAGCUUGGAGGGCCAAUCGAUCCCUUGGCAGCUAUGGGAUCCAUCCUGAGCCCGACAGAGGCCCAGCCUGACAUGUCGGCUUGGCGUCCCAACACUGGAGGCAGAGCAGGAGGACCAGGAGGUCAGGGUCAGCCUCCGCUACAUAGUUUCCAGAAAAUGUGAGACCAUGCCUCAAACAAACAAAAAGAGGAAAGAGAAAAAGACCCCCAGAUGUUCUUCUGGUAUGUGGUCUAGGGAAGCCCUCUUGCCAAGCCUGCUGACUGCCCAGGCUCCACCCACACACUGCAAGGAAAACAGAACAAAAGUUUACUUUGUAUCAUUAAAGAUUGGGGCCAG